CAGCUGCACAGGGAGCAGCAGCCCCAGCCCCCGGCUUUUGACCCACGAGGUAGGAAAAGAGUUGUAGCCUUGUUUUUCCCAAACGUACUUAAAAGUGACCGUUUGAAGUAUUUUUCCACAAGGCUCUGUCAUUCUCAGCCAGCAAUUGUCAAGCCUAUUAGGAAGGGGAACCUAGAAGGCCAAAAAAUUCUCUGCCUUUUUUUUCCUGCUUGCUGCCUGUGAUGUUUGAUCGAAGGCAGCAAUAGAGCUCUGUAUCCCAGAGCCACAUUAUGGAGCCUGACCAGUGGGUUUGGAUUCUUGCAGCCACCCCAGGCACUUCAGCAUCCAGUGCUCCACCUGGCACUGCUGGUGCAGCAUUAACAGCCUCCAGCCAAGCCCGUAACACACCUGAGGAAGAGCAGUCACCAGCAGUGGAUCUUGCCUUUGCUGUGGAGCAAAUGAUCCGGGAGAUCAGGAGAUCCCUAUCUGAAAGGUCUCCCUCUGCCCAGGGCAAUAUUAAUGCUGUGCCUGAGUCUUCAGGAGGUGAGCCUGUGGACAGAGCUGCAGCAGAGGAAGCCUCAUCUGGCAUGGAGAGCUGCAGGAACAGUUCCCCAGAGCCCGAGGAGCCUGAUCACAUGUGACCGACCUCUCCAGGAGGGCUAGCCUGUGUGGCAGGAAGAGACAGAGGGAGAGCCUGGAACAUCGGGCAAGUUGACUUCCUCUGUCUCUAGUUAUAUUUAUAGAUGUAUAUAGUUAUGUUUAUUUAUCUAGGUAGUUGUAUUUAUAGAUUUAUGUGAUUAUAUUUAUCUAUAUAGAUAGAGAUCUGUACAGUUAAUUUAUUUUUGGUUUUACUGGUAUAUCGUUAUAGCUUUAGAUAUGUUGUUGUAGUUAUAGAUGUGCACAGUUGCACUUAUACCUGUGUAUAGUUACAUUUACAUAUAUACAUUUGUAAAUGCCUAUUUAUAUUUGUAUAUGGGGGUUUAGCUACGUAGAUUGAUAUUUAUAUACACCUUUUUUUAACCUCUUGCCCUGUUCUGCUUCCUCGCUCACCUCUGGCUUUUCCCCCUGUGCCCCCUGUGUCCCCUCUCCCUGGGCUGGGUCCGAGCUGGCGGCCGGGCCGGGCGCAGCAGCAGUUCCAGCCCCGGGUGUCCCUGGAGCGCUGGGAGCUGCCGGUGGCCCCAGGCACUGUCCCCUGAGGAGCUGCUGAAGGACGCUGUAAUGACCACAAGGACAGCUGGAGACUGCCAGGAGCCAGCAGGGAGAAGCCGAGGGCCAGCAGCAGGAGCAGUGAGCGGGGCCCUGCUGCUGCCAGCCUGGAGAGAGCCCGGAUUUGCCAUCUGCUGUCCCUGUCCAGGAGAUCUGCCAAACUUCAUCUGCAGGCUCAGAAGAACCGGUGUCCUUUGGCCACCCUCAGUUCCCUCUGAAGAUGGGAUCACCUGCAGAGCAGAGGGGACCAGCUGCAGCUCCAGGCCCAGCUCUUGCCGGUCACAGCUGAGCCUGUGGCAAGCUCCAGGAGCUGCUGCCAUCUCCCUCCCUGUUGGUAGCUCACUCCCUCCAGUCCCCAGGCCCUGCCCAUCCACCUUUUUCCCUCCCAGCUCACCCCUUCGCUUUGCCUUCCCUUAUUAAACAGUUUGGCUUUUUCA